rnacentral:lncRNA from 1 species
UUAUCUUAGCUAUCUUAGGUGUCAUACUAUUCCAUUCAGGUGAAAUUGUUGUAGACAGAGAUGCAAAAUCUUAUUCGUUAUGUUUUUGGGGGUUGUUUGCUUGUUUGUUUUGAGAUAGAGUCUCACUCUGUAGUUCAGGCUGGCCUUGAACUCACUACGUAGCCCUGGCUAUCCUCAAACUUGCCACGAUCCUCCUGCCUCAGCCUCCCGAGUGCUGGGACUACAGGCGUGUGCCACCACGCCUGGCAAACCCCCAGGAUCUUGAAGAAACUAAAAACAGGCCAGCUGCAACACAGACUGAGAGCAAGCAUGAUGUGGGACAAGGUUGAGAAGUGAAAACAAAGAACGGUGAUGAAGGACCAAGGCUCUCCCACCCAUACUCAGAAAAAUAACGAUAAACAUGAUAGAAAAGAGAAAUCAACGAGAAGAGCGGCGAGGCGGAAAGGUCCAUCCGAUCCAUCCAAGCGUCCUCCUCAGCCGCAGCCAGGACGGACAAACUUCAGACCCAGGCCAGCGGCUCGCCAGGCCUGCGCUCAGGGCCACCCGGACGCGAGCGAGAGCAGAAGGGAGCGUAGCCUUCCAGCCCCGCAGAGGGCGGGUGCCGGGCGGAGCCAGACCGCGAGGAUCAAGGAGGGGUGAGUCACGGAGAGGAAGAGGAAGCAGCGCUCGGUGGGGACCGGAGGAGAAACGGGGCCUAGCUGAGAGAGGGCGGCCCUUCGAGGCCCUUUCUUUCCAAACCGGAGAGACCGGGGUUUCUGAGAAGGAGACCAGAGAGCCAGGACAAAGGAGCCACUUAGAAUGUGAAUGAGAAAGUACUCACGUGACCAACGCCCGGAGCGGCUGGUGGAGCCCCCAGCAGUGCCAAGUUUGAGCCCAGCGUGGGCAACUGGGUCUUGCUAAAUAUAGUCCAGGCUCACCGUGGCUGCCUCACUGCUCACUGAAUGCUGGACUGCAGGCUUCACCACCACUCCCUGGUCUACACGAUUUUUAAUGUAUUGAUACAUUUAAUUCUCACCAUCAUCUUAUAUGAGUCUCACUAUGCAGCCCAGGCUGGCCUCAAACUCUGAAUCCUCCUGUCUCAGCCUCCCGAGUGCUGGAAUUACAGGUGUCCAACAGCAGAAGUGAAAUGAUUUUAACAAGGCCAUGCAUCUGUUAAAUGGUAGAGCACACACUUAUGUGUACCUGUAACAUAGGGAGCAAGGUGAUUUUCCAGGAGUAAAAGGAGAACUGGCUGGAGAAAAGAGAAAGGGGAAAUUGGGGAGGUGAGAAUAUGAAAAGUUUAGAAUAGCCAGAGUGAAAACUAUGCUUCCGAGCAUCUCCUGUCUGCACCUGUGAUCCAGCCUCUCAACUUGAGACCCACCAUCGGAUUCCUGCACCUACUCCUUCAGCCUUCUCUGGCUGCUAAAGAUGAUUCCACCCUUCCAUUUGGAUUCUGGGGUCUGGGCCUACCCUUGGGGCAGGAUUCUCUUGGGGGAGCUGAAGGGGCAGAGAAUGAUUCUGGCUGUCAGAGACAGGACCUGACAUGACCCACAAAUCACGGCAUCCUUGCUGAACCUUUUAAAAGUGUAUGCUUAUUAAAAAAAAAAAAAAGUGUGUACUUAUGAUGGCCUUAGAACUGGAUUUCAGUAGACCCUGUGAUUUGUAGAAUAUUGUCUUAUUCAAAGUGACUUAAAAAGGAACAAGAGGGCUGGGAUUUAGCUCAGUGGUUCUGGAGCCUGCCUCACAAUUGCAAGGACCAGAGUUCGAUCCCUGGUACCAAAAAGAAAAAAAAAAAAAGAAACAAGAGACCCUGGAAUCUAGCUCAGUGGUGCCACCACACAAGGACCCAGGUUCGAUCCCUGGUACAAAAAAAGGAACAAGAGAGCUUCUCUCCCCUUCUCCCCCUCUCCCCCUCUCCCUCUCCCCUCUCCCCCUCCCCCUCUCCCCCUCCCCUUACACCCUCCCCCAUGUUUGGACCGCAUUUGUUAGCAAGUUCAUGCCUGGGGCAUGAACAUACAUGUUCACCUCCAGGUUGUCAGGGCCAGGCAAAAUUGAGAUAGGAAAGCACAAAAGGUCUCCAACCGCCUUAUCACAGCCUUUUGCAGGGUAUGGCAAUAGGGAGUGGCCCUAGAAGUGGGCUUUAGAAGAGGAGCAACAUGGGCUGGGGAUUUAGCUCAGUGGCACCUUGCCUGCCUUGCAAGCACAAGGUCCUGAGUUCCAUCCCCGGUACCGGAAAAAAAAAAAAGGAAGAGGACCAAUGAGACCUUUGUGUGGCACCUGAGGAGGCUGGGGGACUAGUGAAUUAGGGUCCUCCUCGUGUGGCCAAAACAGCCUGCUGCAGUGAUGGAGCAGAAGCCUCAGUGAGAUGAAAGCAAAUGGGGAAGAAGCCAAACAAGGGGAAGUGUGGCCGGAAAGGUGUGCCAUGGUGUUUCUGCUCUGCAUUGCCUGGUUGUCGUCCUUGCUUUGCAGUUGGCUGAUUAUGGUCUGAAACCUCUAUGAAUCUGGGGCCCAAAGUAACCUGGGCCAAUAUUUUAUUGGCCGGACAGCUCCAGACAUUAGAAGGAAGCUCCAAAAACUCCAACAGGCCCUCAGACAGGAGUGCAUCAACUGGUCAACUUGGCUUUCAUGGAGUUUAACAACGAGACGGAGAGGACAAAUGGGAAUUAAGUAGAAACCAGGCAUGGUGCACACCUCUAAAUCCAAAC